rnacentral:antisense_RNA from 3 species
UUCAAUGGCGGCUGUACGUGCGGGCACGCUUGCGUGCGCCGGAACUUUGCUUAAUCCGCCGGUCUGUCAACCCACGUACAGCUGCCACCCUU